rnacentral:lncRNA from 12 species
GGGGGGGGGGGGGGGGGGCCCCCCCCGCGCCUUUCAGCCAAUAGGAAACCGCGGCGGCAACAGGUGGCGGGUGAGGCCGCGGCCGCCAUGUUGGAUGAGGGCAGCGCCGUGAGGGAGAGGACAAGCUGACCCACCCUCGGUGUUCUGCAAAUGUGCUUGGCUGGAAGGGACGGCGACAGCUGCUUGUGGCUGGGAGAGGUGGCGAGACAGGAGGAAAAAAUGGAUUUUCCCCGCAGUGUUUGGGCCAAUCGUUCACUAGCGUUGUGUUGUUCCCUUUCACAACUUUGGCGAGCUGAUAAGGACGCAUUUCCCUUUUUAUCGACGUUUGGAGCAGCCCGAAAUGUUUCAUCCGUGUUUUUAACCAACCAUCGGGGCCGUGCCAGUUCCAGAGCAUCAACAGCGCUGUUCGGAGGGAACCUGAUGUGGAAAAUGCCAGUGCUGGAAUGCUGGGCACCGAGAAUUUCAGAUUUUCUGUGCUGACAGGCACUGACCCCCAAGAAAAAACUGCUUUUGACCUGAGGCCGUGGAGAAGCUUCCAAAAUUGAAUGAUAGAACUGGGAUCAUGGAUGUGUAGGUUGCAUAGAAGUGUGCGAUACCACGUGGUGGAAAAUUUAGUUGUAUAGAAGUGUGCGAUACCACGUGGUGGAAAAUUUAGAAUUUAAGGUUUUAGAAUAUGGUAACGUGUAUAGGGCAAGAUUGAGGUUUUAGGGCGGAAGUUUCUUUCUUCUUCACGGGUUCAAGUGGAAUUUUAUGCAAUUGGAGG